CCUACGGGGGGCUGCAGUGGGGAAUAUUGGACAAUGGGGGGAACCCUGAUCCAGCCAUGCCGCGUGUGUGAAGAAGGCCCUCGGGUUGUAAAGCACUUUCAGUGAGGAAGAACGCCUGGUGGUUAAUACCCAUCAGGAAAGACAUCACUCACAGAAGAAGCACCGGCUAACUCCGUGCCAGCAGCCGCGGUAAUACGGAGGGUGCGAGCGUUAAUCGGAAUUACUGGGCGUAAAGCGCGCGUAGGUGGCUUGAUAAGCCGGUUGUGAAAGCCCCGGGCUCAACCUGGGAACGGCAUCCGGAACUGUCAAGCUAGAGUGCAGGAGAGGAAGGUAGAGUUCCCGGUGUAGCGGUGAAAUGCGUAGAGAUCGGGAGGAAUACCAGUGGCGAAGGCGGCCUUCUGGACUGACACUGACACUGAGGUGCGAAAGCGUGGGUAGCAAACAGGAUUAGAUACCCCGGUAGUC
rnacentral:rRNA from 1 species